UAAAUUUUUCGAUAAAUCAUUCGUAUAAUCUUGAUAAUAUGGUUCAAGAGUAUCUACCAAGGCACCAAAAAUCCUUGACUAUGAGUGAAUCACGGGAAAGU
rnacentral:ncRNA from 2 species